CUCAGACAUCGCUGAGGUACAUUUCCAGGUUACUCGCUAAAUGUGAGCAAACAAUGCUGAUCUCAAUAGCGGUGCUCCUGUCAGGGUUACUCACACUGGUGUUUUUCACUUAAAGUACCAGGUUGGGAUACUAACUUUGAGUUUUGUGAAGUCUAAAGCAGGGUAUUGCGAAUGAAGCAGCUGGAGCUCUGAAAGCGGUGGAGGAUUUUCCUUUAACCACAUCUUCGUGUUGGAGAACGAUUGCUGUCAUGUACACUUACUAGACAUUUAAUGUUCCUUUACAUAAAGGAAGAAAAUAAGCUUAUGCUUUCCAUCACCCUCCUCGCUGGACAUCUAUGGAGAGGAUUUUCUGUAUGCGCUCACGCAGCUUUUGGAGUUACUUACGGUCGAGACGACACCGUGAAUGUUAAAUUUACCGAGCUGGAUAGAAGAAGACGACACACUUAACCUGAUUUGAAUGCCUUUGCAAGGAGUUUGCUGGUUUCUGUGCUGCAGGCAGGGCUUCAGUUUGCUCGGACGGGACUAUGGGGAGAAAGAGGAGGAAGAAUCUUUUGAAUUGCGCAACAAGGAGGACUUGACUCCCAAUGGACGGACUCCAGCUGAGGUGAUUGUUUCUCAGCCAUCUUGCACAGCCAAUGGAACAAAUGGCCACACUGUCUCGGAGUCUUCUGAAGAGAUGAAAAGCCUGAUCAUUGACAAGAAUAAGAUGGGACAGGAGGAAGAACCUGAACUCUUGGUAAAAGGUGAGCCUGACACACACAACUAACAUAGCACCACCGUUUAUCUUAUCCUCCUUAAAUAAAUGCAUCUACCUGCUAUUAUCAGAUAUUCAUUAUGCUGACAUCAUUACUAAUUAAGUAGGCUUC
ensembl:lncRNA